rnacentral:rRNA from 1 species
GAUGAACGCUGACAGAAUGCUUAACACAUGCAAGUCGACUUGAAGCAACUUCGGUUGUGGAAAGUGGCGGACGGGUGAGUAACGCGUAAAGAACUUGCCCUUCAGUCUGGGACAACCAUUGGAAACGAUGGCUAAUACCGGAUAUUAUGGAACUCUCGCAUGGGAGGAUCAUGAAAGCUAUAUGCGCUGAAGGAGAGCUUUGCGUUCCAUUAGCUAGUUGGUGAGGUAACGGCUCACCAAGGCGACGAUGGAUAGCCGGCCUGAGAGGGUGAUCGGCCACAAGGGGACUGAGACACGGCCCUUACUCCUACGGGAGGCAGCAGUGGGGAAUAUUGGACAAUGGACCAAAAGUCUGAUCCAGCAAUUCUGUGUGCACGAUGAAGGUUUUCGGAUCGUAAAGUGCUUUCAGUUGGGAAGAAGAAAGUGACGGUACCAACAGAAGAAGCGACGGCUAAAUACGUGCCAGCAGCCGCGGUAAUACGUAUGUCGCAAGCGUUAUCCGGAUCUAUUGGGCGUAAAGCGCGUCUAGGCGGGUUCAUAAGUCUGAUGUUAAAAUGCGGGGCUCAACUCCGUAUUGCGUUGGAAACUGUGAACCUAGAGUAUCAGAGAGGUGGGCGGAACUACAAGUGUAGAGGUGAAAUUCGUAGAUAUUUGUAGGAAUGCCGAUGGAGAAGUCAGCUCACUGGAUGAAUACUGACGCUAAAGCGCGAAAGCGUGGGUAGCAAACAGG